CUGCCUUCAAGCAUCUGUUUAACAAAGCACAUCUUGCACCCCCCUUAAUCCAUUCAACCCUGAGUGGACACAGCGCAUGUUUCAGAGAGCACAGGGUUGGGGGUAAGGUCACAGAUCAACAGGAUAAGAAUUUUUCUUAGUACAGGCAAAAUGAAAAGUCUCCCAUGUCUACCUCUUUCUACACAGACACGGCAACCAUCCGAUUUCUCAAUCUUUUCCCCACCUUUCCCCGCUUUCUAUUCCUCAAAACCGCCAUUGUCAUCAUGGCCCGUUCUCAAUGAGUUGUUGGGUACACCUCCCAGACGGGGUGGUGGCCGG
rnacentral:lncRNA from 1 species